rnacentral:rRNA from 1 species
UGGGGAAUAUUGCACAAUGGGCGAAAGCCUGAUGCAGCAACGCCGCGUGAGGGACGACGGCCUUCGGGUUGUAAACCUCUUUUAGCAAGGAAGAAGCGAAAGUGACGGUACUUGCAGAAAAACGCGCCGGCUAACUACGUGCCAGCAGCCGCGGUAAUACGUAGGGCGCAAGCGUUAUCCGGAAUUAUUGGGCGUAAAGAGCUCGUAGGCGGUUUGUCGCGUCUGCUGUGAAAACCCGAGGCUCAACCUCGGGCCUGCAGUGGGUACGGGCAGACUAGAGUGCGGUAGGGGAGAUUGGAACUCCUGGUGUAGCGGUGGAAUGCGCAGAUAUCAGGAAGAACACCGAUGGCGAAGGCAGAUCUCUGGGCCGUAACUGACGCUGAGGAGCGAAAGGGUGGGGAGCAAACAGGCUUAGAUACCCUGGUAGUCCACCCCGUAAACGUUGGGAACUAGUUGUGGGUCCAUUCCACGGAUUCCGUGACGCAGCUAACGCAUUAAGUUCCCCGCCUGGGGAGUACGGCCGCAAGGCUAAACU